AACCUGGAGAUACAGACAUAUGGUACAUUCAUUACCCCAGAAAGCUACAGCUGAAAGAAAAAUAGUUGAAGCCAGUCUUAACGCUGGAAAGCUUCAGCAUAUACCUUCCCAUUACUUUCCUUAAUCUCACAGAUUGUCAAAAAUGCUGCCAAAAUAGUUGUUUCUGUUUCAGCUCAGCGCUUCCCGCAAAAUCCACAUUGGAACCUCAGUGUGUGCUUCUUCCAAGGCACGGCUGCCCCUCUUACCUCCUGACCCAGACGGAGAGAGUAGACUGAGCGAGGGCGGAAAAUCCCAGGCCUGACCUUGCCCUCACUAAUCCUGUGACCUUGGGCUACAACUGAGCUUCUCUGGGCCUCAUUUUCCUCAUCUGAAAAUGUCAUUCAGUCACCUGACAAGUACUUAUUGAGCAUCUAUUUUGUGGCAGGCACUGUUCAAAGAACUGGGAAGAUAGUGAUAAAUAAAAUAGGAUCCCCACUUUUGUGGAGUUUAAAUUCUUUGUGGGGGGAGAUAAAUGAGUAGAGGACACAGUAUGGUAGUCGGCAAUUGGGUCAUGGAAAAAACAGAACAGGGAAGGGAGUGUUUGUGCAGAACAAUUGCAGGUGUGAAACACGCUGGUCAAGGAAGUCCUCAGUAGAGAGGAGGCAGUGGAGGAGAGGUCUGAAGGACGUAUGAAGGUGUUCUGGGUGGAUGGCGGAGGAAGAGUAUUUUGUGGGGAGGCCCUGAAGCUGGAGACUGCCUCUGUUUUUGAGAAACAGCAAGAAGUCCAAAAUGGCUCAAAUCUGUGUGUGGGGGCUUUGAAAGCCACCAAAGAGGAUUUGCCAGCGGAUGCUCUCAGAGGGUUUUGAGCAGAGGAGAAACGAUCUAAGAUGUGUUACGGUAACUCUGGCUGCUAUGUGGAGAGCACACUGAAAGGGGACAAAGUCUGGCCACCAUUGCCGUAACUGAAGGAAGGGCCCAUGGUGGGUUGGACCAGGGCAAUUGGCAUUUGGUGGUGAGAAGUGCUUGAAGCGUAGCUAUACGUUACUUUGAAGGGAGAGCUGUCAAGGCUGGCAGAUUACAUGUGGGUGUGAAAUAAGAGAGCGAAGGCGAACUCCCCAGUUUUUUAGCCUGGUUGCUGGGAAGAGUGGAGUGUCGAUCUUCUGAGACUGAGAAUAGCGUAAGGGGAAACAGGUGGGGAGGGAUGGCACCUCGGGAACUCAGUUUGGGGCACGUGAAGUUUGAGACGCCAGUUGGAAAUCCAAACAGACACAACGAAAACAUGUGACUCUGCAAACAGUAGAACUUAUUAGAUGAACUCGAUCUAAAAGAAUGAUAGCUUUUGUCUUCAAGAAAAAUCAGAGUAACCUCUGGUGAUGCCAUGUGGUGAGAAACCAAGAUGACUGAGAAGUAAAUCAUUUUGAGAAGUAAAGUUUCUGUGCUUUCCUAGCCUGGACACUAUUAUCAUUAUUAUCUCCUUGCAGUUAAUUACCUAAUGCGGGAUUGCAAAGUUCACAAAUUUAAAGGUAAAGAAAGGUCUGGUCACUGGAACAUACAAUACAGAAAGCACACAUCCACCCACCCAUUUUGGGGAAAGUUACACAGCUAUAGUCUGAAUGUUUGUAUCCACACCCCUCCCCAAAUUGAUAGGUUGAAAUCUUAAUCAUCAAUGUGAUGGUAUUAGGAGGUGGGGCCUUUGGAAGGUGAUUAGGUCAUGAGGGUGGAGCCCUCUCACAUGGGAUUAAUGCCCUUGUAAAAGAGACCCCAAGAGCUUCCUGCUCCUUCCACCAGGUGGGAACGCAGCAAGAAGUCCGCAGUCUGCAACCCAGAAGAGGGCCCUCACUAGAACCUAAUCACGCUGGCACCAGAUCUUGGGUUUUCCAGUCCCCACAACUGUAAGAAAAAAUUGGUGCAUAGAACCACCCCGUCUAUGGUAUUUGGUUACAGUAGCCCCAAAAGACUGAGACAGGCCAGAGUUAGAAGAAGAGUAUUUAUGAUUAAGGCUGCAGAGAAGAACUCAGUGCCUAUGCUCACUUUGGUUGCAAGAAGCUUUCUGGCUCCCAGAUAGAGAAGGCUGUGAAGCUGGAGUUGAGCUGUAUAGUGGAAAUGAUAAUAUCUAGCUUGCAAGGUUGCCCAGGGCCUGGCUCAUGGUAGGACUCAAUGAAUCUUAGUUCACUUGCUUUUAAGGACAAGAAUUCUGUACUAUGAAUCUUUGUACUCUUAGUAGGUACAUAAUAAAGGUACUUAUUUCUAGAUUCGAAUGUAGCCACCUUCGAUAUUAAUAUGUUUGUUAUAUAUUACUAAUAAUGUAUAUUAAUAUUUCUAAGGUACUAGAGACUUAAGGCAGAGUUAAGACUUCAAUCGAGAGCAGUGCUCCCAAGUACAAAUAUAAUGCAAGCUACAUAGUUAAUUUUAUGUUUUCUAGUAUACACAUUUUAAAAAAUGAAAAGCAAUAAAAUUGAUUUUAAUGGUAUUAUUUAACCCAAAGUAUUAUCCUUUCCACAAGUAAUCCACAUAAAAAUUUUGACAUUUUAUUCUGUUUUUAACUAAUUCUUAGAAAUCCAGUGUGCAUCUUAUACCUCAACUAAAUAACUCAAUUAACAUCUCAAUUAAAACUAGCUGCAAUCCAAGAGUUUAAUAGCCACACAUGGCUAGUGACUAUCAUACUGGACAGUGUGGUUCUGGCGGCAAAAGGGAGGUACUUUUUUCUCUUGUUUUAUGUUUUUAUGCGCCUGACAUUCAACUACAGAAACAUGGUGUGUUUUCAGUCAGUCAGGCUCAGAUAUUACUUGUUCCUUUGUUUUAUAUAGCAGGCAGUUAUGAGGUCGCUAUUUUUAUACACAAUGGAAACAGAGGAUCUCAGACUGUCUUCAUGCCCUAGGAAUGGAAAAUGGUAUCUCCGCUUCACCUGUUCUUAUCUCCCUUGGGUAGAAACAAAACAGAAGAAAACCCACAAAGGAAAGAUCCAAUAGCAAAACUUGUGCUUGUGUGGGUGGUCAUCCUGAUGGCUGCACUUUAAAAUGUUACCUUCCUCUGAUUUUAUGCUAAGAAUCUUUAUGAUAGAAAAAGCAUAAAAAUGGUGGUGGUAGAGGGGGUCACAAAUCACUUUGAACUGGUGGCAGGAGAUCUUCUGAGAAAUGACACUCAUAGGAAAUAAAAACAAAGGGAAAACUGUCUUGAUAAACGUAGAGCUCUUAGUCACAGAAUAACUGGGACACAUUUCAGUUCAUCAAAAUAACUUCGUGUAGUUUUGCAGACUCAGUCAUAUCUCUAACUUACAAAAUUCCUCCCUGAUGCCAGAAUCUUAGUGUUCGUACUGAGUGGAGAGAGUUACUGCAAGCAAUACUGUUCUAAGCACUUUAAAUGCAUUGAUGUGCUCAAUCCUUCUAAGUCUUAUGCCCCUUAUAAUAAACCUGUAACAGAUAUGAAUCUCAGCUCUGUCACUUGCUAGCUAGGAAACUUUCUGAGAUUUAGUUUUCUAUUAUGUAAUUAGGUUUUCGUGAAAAUUAACUCGAAAUGUGUGAAAUGUACAUUGCACGGUGCUUGACGCUUGGGAAGAUCUCCAUAAACAUUGCUACCGUUAUUGGUGACAAAUGGUUACUUUACAAAUCUUAAGGAAAGUGGUUGCAAAUAUUCUAUGGCAAGGAGUCCACAGGGUUAGAAUCUCUUUGUCUGGCUAUUAAGGCUAUUAACAGUGGCUUUCAGUUUUAAGAGCCACAAUUUCCCUUGUCCAUAUACUAGAAAGUUUUGGAGGGUAUACUCCAAAAUUGUUUGUAGGGUAUAUAAAUCAAGAAUGUAUUCCAACAUCACAAAUAUUUUUUAAAAGGUUUUAUUUCUAAGUCAUUUCUCUAUUACCUCAUGUGGGGUUUAAACUCACAGCCCCUAGAUCAAGAGUUGCAGGUUCCACUGACUGGGCCAGCCAGGUGCUCCCCAACAUCACUAACAAUUUUUAAAGUGAUUUUUGAAUAGCUGACAUAUGGACAUGAUGCAAACUUAAAAGAAAAUGCAAAAAGAUACACAGAGGAAAGGCACUCACAGGAAGUAAAACCAAAGGAAAAACUGUCUUGACAAAUGUGGAGCUCUUAGUCACAGAAUAAAUGGGGCGUUAACUUUUUCAACCAUAGAUAACUUAGUCCCUCAUUGCUGGGAUGGACCCGUCCCAGGAAGUCAUGUCUGAUGUUGGGGAGAAUUUUUAAUCAUUGAUGGUUGUUUUAAGGUGUCACUGUCAUUAGGAUCCGGCCACAUUUGAGCAACAAGGGGGCAGUCAGGAAAUGGUUCUCAGGCAGUUUAUUCAUCUGGGGCUUUAUGAAGCCACCUGGAGUUUCAGAUGAAUCAAUUUAUGGAGUGCAUAAUUAGAUGCUUGUAGAGGUUUUAGAGUGACCUUAGCAAGACGAUAAGCAUAAAAAGAGCAAUUAGGAAAAGUAAUAUUUUGUAAACAUCAUGGACAUAAGGCAUUAAUCUAAGAAAUUGUGAAGAAUGAUGGAAUAUUCAUUAACUAAAGGUUCAGUAAUUUUCAAAGUGAUAGAGCAGAUCUAAGGAACUAAAACCUUACAUUAAUUUUGGCAAAACAGAAGCGACAGUACAGUUUCAUUUUUUAACGAGAUUGAUUACGAAGUACAAAAAUGGAGUCAUUGUACGCAACUCUUUAUAACGUGUUCAGUUGAGCUAGUACAGAUAUGACUGGGGAAAGGUUGAAGCAGGUAUGGGAACACCUGGUUGUAAUAACCCAAUAGGUAACAUUUAUAGGCUUGUGGGUAUAAUCAAUAGUAGCAUUUGGGAUGAAAGAGAAAUUAGUUAUAGGCAAGACCCAGGGGUCUCUGACACGGUGAACAUACCAGAAUUUUUUGGUGACAGGUCUAACAAUCAGAGAGGUUUCUUCUUUUUAUAGUAGACUAAGAAGUGUGGAUAAGAAUAUCGUUUCUCUAAGAGAAAGAGGAGGGGGGAAACAAACAAAUAAGGUAGAAGCAACAGUGAAGAAACGGUAUACAGGCCUGGUGGGCUCAUCCUGGGAAAGCCGUCUCUUUCGGCUUUCAUCUGCUUCAAUUCCUGGAAUUUUAAUUUUUAGGUCAUCAGCUGGUAUGUAUAGGUCUGUUCAGGAUUUGGUGUUUUGUUUUGUUUUUUAGAUGUGACAUGUGAAUCUAGGAGUCUAUUUCUUGGAAUUUUCUGGCACAAGGAUUGGUUAAAUUGUACUUGUUGGGAGUCUUGCCAAUGAGACCGAAUGGAGUCUUUUUGGAGAUGUCUUUUCUAAUAGACGAAAUCUACAGGUUGUAAGAAGCUUCUGUACAUCAAUCAAGGAGCACAUUCUAUUGUCUCUCGGAAGUUUGGAUUCCUCUCUUCUAAGGGUCCCUUUAAGAUGAGAAAACUGAGAUGUAGAAAGGUCAAGUGACUUGUCCAAAGUAAAACAGCUAGAAAGUUUUGGAGGCAAGAUUCAAACUUAAGUCUGGCUGAUUUCAAAGUCCCAAGCCCAAUGACUUCCACCCUACUGGAAAGACAAAGGCGAGCAGCUGCAGCAGGAACCCGGCCAUUCCGCCCCUGGUGUGAACAACAGUGGUAACAAAGCAGAAACAAGAACUGAUGUUUAUUUCGAGCCAGUCUCUUUGAAAACAUUAUCUCCUAGGACACAAGAGAGCCCGGGUGUAGGGCUGGGCACCAGGACACAGAGGAGGUGCACAGCACACAGCUCCAGGGCAGCUCAUCAUGUGUCAGGUGAGCCUGAAGGGCACACAGUCUGCCAUGGCAGCUGGCACCCAGUUGGAUUUGUACCCUAAGUGCAGGGAGAAGCGGACAUGUCUCAGUCCACCUAAGACUGGGGUGUGUGUCUCUCCCACUGGAAGCCUGUUUGCCACUCAGACACUUAGACCCAGAGCCCCAAGCAACAGAAACCUGAGAACUGAAAACUUGGAGGCAUCCAUCAGCCCCAAGUCAAACUCUGGGCUCAAUGUCAGCGGUGAAGGAUCAGCUUCAGAUUGCAAGCUUUGGUGUUAAAGCCCAAGAGGGUCAAGAACCUCACGGGUCACCUUUUUACCUGCACAACCUCAGGACAUUUCUCAUUAUUGGGAUCUGUAACCUGAGCACGAUGAAGGCCCUCUUGGGAAUGUCCCAUCUGCCCUGACCUAGAUAGUUCCUCUUCAUCAUACACCCAGCUCUCCUGAUGUGGAGGCAUGGCAGAACAGCCCUGGAAAAUAAUCCCAUCCUCCUCCACUUGCUAUUAUGCUUUAGGUUCUUUGGUGAGAAAAAGUCAUAAAACUGAGUCGUUUCAAAAGCUCAAAAAUAAAUGUAUGAUGUGCUCAAACUCUUAAGAAAAUGACUUAACAUCAGCCCACUCACUGAGCAUUUUAUGUAGAUGAGAAUAUUAGAAUUGCAGGCGCCCUAGAGAACACCUCAGUUCACCCUCCCAUUAGGCUCAGUUAGGCCAGGCCCUUGAGCAUGCUGACAUAUGCAGAUCAUGCUGGAAGUGACAUGGCAAGGGUAGAUGCUGAAUUCCAGAAGUCACAAGGACCCCAUACUCUCUCCCCUGAUGAGCUGGCCUCUAGCAUCCUGAGCACCACUAAAUUCCCUGAGUCACGGCUCCCCUGCAAGAGAUGCAUGUUAAUUUCCUGCAGGCCUUCUAGUCACGGGCUUAGCCAGGGCCUUUGCUGCUUAUCCAAGGCAGCACCCAAGCCAUCUGGCUCAUUUCCAGCCUUGCAAAAAAAUUCUCUAUGGGCACUCUUUUCUAAGCUGGAGGAAUUAGACUCACCACCAGAAGAAAAAGGGAAGAGGGCCAAUUUCUUUCAUCUUCUAGAAGAAUAGAAAAACAACGAAUGCGAUUGCACAAAGUUAUUUGGUUCACCAGCCUAAGGGAUGCAAAUUGGUCCUACUGCCAUUCAGUAUAUCGAAGAAGUCUCUUAUUUGGAAUUUGAAAUUGUGACAAGAAACCCCAUCCUAGGAAGGAAGCAUCUUGAUAAGUGAAAGGGAUUUAUUUUGAUCUGUUUUCUUCUGUAAACAUGGGGCUUGAAUUCAAGGUGCAACGCUGUGCCUUUGGAGAAACCGCUUUUCUCUAGACCUCAGAGAGGAGAGGGACUGAGCCUGCAGCUCUCAGGAGAAGGGGAGAGAGCCCACAAAGGCAUGGGUGGGCGCAGCCUCUCCCGUGCCAUUAGGCCUUCACUGCAUUCUGGAAAAACCACUCUGUAGUGUGGAAGGGAAUGCCAGAGAAUGUGAAGCCACACUUAAGCAUGCUUGGGGGGCCUGGUCAGUGCCCAGUAGGCUGUCAGCACAGGACCCCAGCGUCCCAAGGCUCCUAGCAGUCCCUGAAUGCCUGCUGACGCCUUACAUCACACACUGGCUUCCUCUUCUCCGUGUCUCUCCCAUUCCUCAAGCGCUUGAAGGGCUCACCGUUGUUGAGAGAAAACAAGAUGGAGUAAGACUCGAGCAAGCUGGGACAGGAAGUAAAACUCAAGCCAAGAAGGAAUUCUGCCAAGCACAAUGCACACCCUGCCUAAAAAUAUUUAAGAAUAAAUCAUAGAGUGUGGAGUGUA